AUGCAGUGCGCGGCGGACGGCGGCGGCGCGGAGCCGGCGGUGAGGAAGGGGCCCUGGACCAUGGAGGAGGACCUCGUCCUCGCCAACUACGUCGCCGCCAACGGCGAGGGCGCGUGGAACAGCCUCGCCCGCGCCGCCGGGCUGAACCGGACGGGGAAGAGCUGCCGCCUGCGGUGGCUCAACUACCUGCGCCCCGACGUGCGGCGGGGCAACAUCACGCCGGAGGAGCACCUGCUCAUCGUGGAUCUCCAGGCCAGGUGGGGCAACCGGUGGUCCAAGAUCGUCAGGCACCUCCCCGGCCGGACCGACAACGAGAUCAAGAACUUCUGGAGGACCAAGAUACAGAAGAAGCGCCGCGCCGGCGCCACCGCCAGCGACAGCGCCGGGUGCCAGCUUCUGAGCUCGACGGCGGUGACCGAGUCCCAGAGCAGCAGCAGCAACUCCGUGGUCCGGCCGGGCGCCAUGCCGCACUACGACGUCGUCGCGGCGACGACGCAUCCAGGCGGCUGGGGUGAUCACCAGCUUGGCUACGCCGUGCAAGGAGGAGGUGAUGCCGCGUGUGCCGGUGGAAUGGACGGCGGCGUGCCGCCGGAGUUCUUGCAGGCGGCGGCGGUGGCGGCCGACAACGUCUGGGGCCUCGAGGAGUUCUGGCCAACGGUGCCGCCGUCGCUCCACGGCGACUACUGA
rnacentral:rRNA from 1 species